rnacentral:sRNA from 1 species
ACAUGGGGCCGAAUAGGAUCGACAGAUGGCUAAAGACGUGGCUUUCGCCCGAAUGGGCUUCGUUACCAGCCCAUAUUUAGUAGUUGCCAACGACAACUAUGCUGAAGAGGUCGCUCUCGCUGCAUAGCAGCGCGGGUAU